rnacentral:rRNA from 1 species
AUGGAGCAGUUGGUGAAUAGUCCGCGCGGUUUAUUUUCGCUGGUUUAUUUUCGUCAUCCUUCCAUCAUCGGUUUUUUUCGUCAUCCUCCCACCUCUGCUUACUCGCUGCCCUCCAUCGAAAUAAACCGGUGCCAAAAAAAUCCGUCGUUCUAUCCUACGAUCUCUCAAGGACGCCCCAACCCCCAAUACGAGCCGCCGCCGAGAUCCAAGACGAGCCGCCGCGGAGGACCGAGUGGAGCCGCCGCCGGCGCUGGCCAGGCUCCCCACGAUGUGCGCGCCGGGGCGCCGCUCCCGCUCCCGCAGCCGAGCAUAGCAGCAGCGGCGGAACCCCGCCGCCGGCGAGCUCUCUCUGGCGGAGGAGGGCGGGGGCGAGCUCGCUGUCUCCCUCGCGCUCAACACCAGCGGGACGCAGGCUUCGACGUGGCCACCUACAUAGGCGCGCUCCAGGCAAGGCGCUUCGGGAGGUGGAUUCUUUGGUCGCCGCGGAUGGCAUCCACGCACGACCUCGUGACACAGAAACUUUGCCAAACUUCUGGUGGGCGUCGUGUGCACCACAGACGCGCAGUUCAAAGGCAGAGGUAUGAUUGGAAUAAUCAACUUUUGAUGUCAGUGCAAAGCACAUCAAUGCCUUUUGUCCAAUUACUAGAAGCUGUGGCUUGUUUGAUAAAUCUUAAACUGUCGUGGAACUGCAAAGUAGUUGGGUAUCUUCAGCAGAAAAAGAUUUAUUGCUUAUUUCGGGGAAUUAUCAGUGCAGUACCGCAAAAUGCAAGAAAUAUGGAGCACUGUGAUAUAUCUGCUAUGGAGCAAGUUCUCAUGCUUACUGCUUCACAUGUUGGUGGUAAUCAAUGUUGUUGUCCAGCUGUGGAUCCAAGUUGGAGUUUUUCCUUGCAGCUUCUAUCCAUUCUUUUGGCAUCGUUUGCCAAACUUCAAGAAGGUUUUCUAUGCUAA